GACGAACGCUGGCGGCGUGCUUAACACAUGCGAGUCGAACGGAAAGGCCCAGCUUGCUGGGUACUCGAGUGGCGAACGGGUGAGUAACACGUGGGUGAUCUGCCCUGCACUCUGGGAUAAGCCUGGGAAACUGGGUCUAAUACCGGAUAUGACCAACUGUCGCAUGGUGGUUGGUGGAAAGCUUUUGCGGUGUGGGAUGGGCCCGCGGCCUAUCAGCUUGUUGGUGGGGUAAUGGCCUACCAAGGCGACGACGGGUAGCCGACCUGAGAGGGUGAUCGGCCACACUGGGACUGAGACACGGCCCAGACUCCUACGGGAGGCAGCAGUGGGGAAUAUUGCACAAUGGGCGCAAGCCUGAUGCAGCGACGCCGCGUGAGGGAUGACGGCCUUCGGGUUGUAAACCUCUUUCACCAGGGACGAAGCGUGAGUGACGGUACCUGGAGAAGAAGCACCGGCCAACUACGUG
rnacentral:rRNA from 1 species